rnacentral:tRNA from 1 species
UAGGGUAUAGUAUAUUUAGUAUAUUUUACUUACAAUAAAAAGGUAUAUCUCUAA